AGGAUCCAGUUCCCUAAGUGGAUGCCUUCCUUACUAGCCUUGUCACUUGUAUCACUUUGAACAUGAAAGAAGAAACAGAUGUAAGCAAAUUCUGGUCCUGCCCUUAGUCAGCAGACUGCAAGUUAGUGCCAGGUUUUCAGGAGCCAAAUCAGAUCCGAAUACAGGGCAGUCAGAUGACAUCAUUUUCACCAGCUAUUGUUUAAUGGUAUGAUUUGCAGGUUAUGACAUCUCUCUGAAUCAUCUGAUCUGGAUCAUCUCUCUAAAAUGCCCUCUUUUUUCUCCUACUGAUAGCUCCCACACACAGGGAAUUAACAAG
rnacentral:lncRNA from 1 species